GGGAACUACGAGCCAAGCUUAAAACCCAAAGGACUUGACGGUACCCCAUAUCCCCCUAGAGGAGCCUGUCCUGUAAUCGAUAACCCCCGUUUAACCUCACCAUUUCUAGCAAUUCAGCCUGUAUACCUCCGUCGUCAGCUUACCACGUGAGCGCUAGUGAGCUCAAUGUUUUUCCAACUAAACGUCAGGUCAAGGUGCAACACAUGAAAUGGGAAGAGAUGGGCUACACUUUCUAUCAUAGACUAUACGAAAGACUAACUAUGAAAUCUAGUCAGAAGGCGGAUUUAGAAGU
rnacentral:rRNA from 1 species